rnacentral:rRNA from 1 species
AGCACGGGAAGCUUGCUUCCUGGUGGCGAGCGGCGGACGGGUGAGUAAUGCAUAGAAAUCUGCCCGGUAGUGGGGGAUAACCUGGGGAAACCCAGGCUAAUACCGCAUACGUCCUACGGGAGAAAGCAGGGGAUCUUCGGACCUUGCGCUAUCGGAUGAGUCUAUGUCGGAUUAGCUUGUUGGUGAGGUAAUGGCUCACCAAGGCGACGAUCCGUAGCUGGUCUGAGAGGAUGAUCAGCCACAUCGGGACUGAGACACGGCCCGAACUCCUACGGGAGGCAGCAGUGGGGAAUAUUGGACAAUGGGCGAAAGCCUGAUCCAGCCAUGCCGCGUGUGUGAAGAAGGCCUUCGGGUUGUAAAGCACUUUCAGUGGGGAAGAAAGCCUUGGGGCUAAUACCCUCGAGGAAGGACAUCACCCACAGAAGAAGCACCGGCUAACUCCGUGCCAGACCCCGCCCAUCCGGGUUACC